rnacentral:rRNA from 1 species
GACGAACGCUGGCGGCGUGCUUAACACAUGCAAGUCGAACGGAAAGGCCCUGCUUUUGUGGGGUGCUCGAGUGGCGAACGGGUGAGUAACACGUGAGUAACCUGCCCUUGACUUUGGGAUAACUUCAGGAAACUGGGGCUAAUACCGGAUAGGAUCUCCUGCUGCAUGGUGGGGGUUGGAAAGUUUCGGCGGUUGGGGAUGGACUCGCGGCUUAUCAGCUUGUUGGUGGGGUAGUGGCUUACCAAGGCUUUGACGGGUAGCCGGCCUGAGAGGGUGACCGGCCACAUUGGGACUGAGAUACGGCCCAGACUCCUACGGGAGGCAGCAGUGGGGAAUAUGGCACAAUGGGCGGAAGCCUGAUGCAGCAACGCCGCGUGCGGGAUGACGGCCUUCGGGUUGUAAACCGCUUUCGCCUGUGACGAAGCGUGAGUGACGGUAAUGGGUAAAGAAGCACCGGCUAACUACGUG